UACGUAGGGGGCGAGCGUUAAUCGGAAUUACUGGGCGUAAAGCGUGCGCAGGCGGCCCGUUAAGACAGGUGUGAAAGCCCUGGGCUCAACCUAGGAAUUGCGCUUGUGACUGGCGGGCUCGAGUACGGUAGAGGGGGGUGGAAUUCCUGGUGUAGCAGUGAAAUGCGUAGAGAUCAGGAGGAACACCGAUGGCGAAGGCAGCCCCCUGGGCCUGUACUGACGCUCAUGCACGAAAGCGUGGGGAGCAAACAGG
rnacentral:rRNA from 1 species